CGGGCUCAACCUGGGAACUGCAUUCGAAACUGGCAAGCUUGAGUCUUGUAGAGGGGGGUAGAAUUCCAGGUGUAGCGGUGAAAUGCGUAGAGAUCUGGAGGAAUACCGGUGGCGAAGGCGGCCCCCUGGACAAAGAUGACGCUCAGGUGCGAAAGCGUGGGGAGCAAACAGGAUUAGAUACCCUGGUAGUCCACGCCGUAAACGAUGUCGACUUGGAGGUUGUGCCCUUGAGGCGUGGCUUCCGGAGCUAACGCGUUAAGUCGACCGCCUGGGGAGUACGGCCGCAAGGUUAAAACUCAAAUGAAUUGACGGGGGCCCGCACAAGCGGUGGAGCAUGUGGUUUAAUUCGAUGCAACGCGAAGAACUUCCCUACUCU
rnacentral:rRNA from 1 species